AGCGAACGCUGGCGGCAGGCCUAACACAUGCAAGUCGAACGAACUCUUCGGAGUAGGUGGCGCCGGGGGGGUUACACUGGGGGACGGGGCCUUAAGGUCGGGAAAACUUCGGGGAACUUGGUGCUAAUCCCGAUUGGCCCUUUCGGGGAAAGAAUUAUCGCCUUUUGAGCGGGCCGGGGCUGAUUAGCUCGUUCGGGAGGUAAAGGGCCACCAAGGCGACGAUCAGUAGCUGGUCUGAGAGGAUGAUCAGCCACAUUGGGACUGAGACACGGCCCAAACUCCUACGGGAGGCAGCAGUGGGGAAUCUUGCGCAAUGGGCGAAAGCCUGACGCAGCCAUGCCGCGUGAAUGAUGAAGGUCUUAGGAUUGUAAAAUUCUUUCACCGGGGACGAUAAUGACGGUACCCGGAGAAGAAGCCCCGGCUAACUUCGUG
rnacentral:rRNA from 1 species